UACGUAGGGUGCGAGCGUUGUCCGGAAUUAUUGGGCGUAAAGGGCUCGUAGGCGGUUUGUCGCGUCGGGAGUGAAAUCCACUGGCUUAACUGGUGGCUUGCUUUCGAUACGGGCAGACUGGAGAUAUGCAGGGGAGAACGGAAUUCCUGGUGUAGCGGUGAAAAUGCGCAGAUAUCAGGAGGAACACCGGUGGCGAAGGCGGAUCUCUGGGCCGAUACUGACGCUGAGGAGCGAAAGCGUGGGGAGCGAACAGG
rnacentral:rRNA from 1 species